rnacentral:lncRNA from 1 species
CUAGUUUUAAAAAUGUGUGGCGUGACCCGUUCAACUAACCAAGAUGGCCAUGGGCUAAAAAUAGAACAUAGGGGUAAAAUGCAGUUUUUGGCUUAUAACUCAAAAACCAAAGCAUUUAGAGCAAAUCUGACAUGGGGUUAAAUUGUUUAGCAGAUCAAUAUCUAUCUGCUCUACAAUUUUCAGAUGAAUCUGACAACCCGUUGUUGGGUUGCUGCCCGUGAAUAGGUAAUUUUGCUGUUUUUGGUUAUUAUCUUGAAUAUUAUUAUAGAUAAAGAUAAACUGUAAACAGCAAUAAUGUUCAGCAAAGUAAGAUUUACAAAUAAGUCAACAUGACUGAAAUAGUCAAUUGACCCCCUAAGGAGUUAUUUUCCUUUAUAGUCAAUUUUUAACAAUUUUCAUAAAAUUUGUAAAUUUUUAUUAACAUUUCCACUGAUAUUACUGGGCCAAUUCAUUAUAGAUAGAGAUAAUUGUAAGCAGCAAGACUGUUUAGUAAAGUAAGAUUUACAAACACAUCACCAUCAUCAAAACACAAUUUUGUCAUGAAUCCAUCUGCUUCCUUUGUUUAAUAUUCACAUAUACCAAGGUGAGCGACACAGGCUCUUUAGAGCCUCUAGUCGAUAUU